AUCCAGCUGACGAGUCACAAAUGAGACGAAACGCUCAUCAUGGAU
rnacentral:hammerhead_ribozyme from 1 species